rnacentral:rRNA from 1 species
AUGUUGGCUUAGAAGCAGCCACCAUUUAAAGAGUGCGUAAUAGCUCACUGGUCGAGUGACUCUGCGCCGAAAAUGUAACGGGGCUAAACACACCACCGAAGCUAUGACAUGUACCAUUAGGUACUUGGGUAGGGGAGCGUUGAAUACGGAUUGAAGUUGGACCGUGAGGACUGGUGGACUGUAUUCAAGUGAGAAUGCCGGUAUGAGUAACGAAAAGACAAGUGAGAAUCUUGUCCGCCGAAAGCCUAAGGGUUCCUGAGGAAGGCUCGUCCUCUCAGGGUAAGUCGGGACCUAACGCGAGGCCGAAAGGCGUAGUGGAUGGACAACAGGUUGAAAUUCCUGUACCACCGUAAACCGUUAUGAGCAAUGGGGUGACACAGAAGGGCAGUGACGCGGGCUGAUGGAAUAGCCCGUCCAAGCAGUGAGGCUGAUCGAUAGGCAAAUCCGUCGAUCAUUAAGGCUGGGCUGUGAUGGGGAGCGAAAAUUGUAGUAGCGAAGGUCAUGUACUCCGGCUGUCAAGAAAAGCCUCUAGCCAGGUGAAGGUGCCCGUACCGCAAACCGACACAGGUAGGCGAGCAGAGCAUGCUAAGGCGCGCGGAAGAACUCUCGUUAAGGAACUCGGCAAAAUGACCCCGUAACUUCGGGAGAAGGGGUGCCUCGGUAGGGUGAAUAGCCCGAGGGGGCCGCAGUGAAAAGGCCCAAGCGACUGUUUAGCAAAAACACAGGUCUGUGCGAAGCCGUAAGGCGAAGUAUAGGGGCUGACGCCUGCCCGGUGCUGGAAGGUUAAGGGGAGCGGUUAGGGAGUAAUCCCGAAGCUGUGAACCGAAGCCCCAGUAAACGGCGGCCGUAACUAUAACGGUCCUAAGGUAGCGAAAUUCCUUGUCAGGUAAAUUCUGACCCGCACGAAUGGCGUAACGACUUGGGCGCUGUCUCAACGAGAGAUCCGGUGAAAUUUUAAUACCUGUGAAGAUGCAGGUUACCCGCGACAAGACGGAAAGACCCCAUGGAGCUUUACUGUAACUUGAUAUUGGACUUUGGUACGAUCUGUACAGGAUAGGUGGGAGCCUUUGAAGCAUGAGCGCCAGCUUGUGUGGAGGCAUCGUUGGGAUACCACCCUGAUCGUAUCGGAGUUCUAACCUACUACCGUGAAACCGGUAGAGGGACCGUGUCAGGUGGACAGUUUGACUGGGGCGGUCGCCUCCUAAAAUGUAACGGAGGCGCCCAAAGGUUCCCUCAGAAUGGUUGGAAAUCAUUCGAAGAGUGCAAAGGCAUAAGGGAGCUUGACUGCGAGACCUACAAGUCGAGCAGGGACGAAAGUCGGGCUUAGUGAUCCGGUGGUACCGAAUGGAAGGGCCAUCGCUCAACGGAUAAAAGCUACCCUGGGGAUAACAGGCUUAUCUCCCCCAAGAGUCCACAUCGACGGGGAGGUUUGGCACCUCGAUGUCGGCUCAUCGCAUCCUGGGGCUGUAGUCGGUCCCAAGGGUUGGGCUGUUCGCCCAUUAAAGCGGUACGCGAGCUGGGUUCAGAACGUCGUGAGACAGUUCGGUCCCUAUCUGUCGCGGGCGCAGGAAAUUUGAGAGGAGCUGUCCUUAGUACGAGAGGACCGGGAUGGACGUACCGCUGGUGUACCAGUUGUUCCGCCAGGAGCACCGCUGGGUAGCCAAGUACGGACGGGAUAAGCGCUGAAAGCAUCUAAGCGUGAAGCCCCCCUCAAGAUGAGAUUUCCCAGUAUGUAAGACCCCUUGAAGACGACGAGGUUGAUAGGUUCGGGGUGGAAGCACAGCAAUGUGUGUAGCUGACGAAUACUAAUCGGUCGAGGGCUUAUCCUAA